GCCUCUUCUUGGAUCCUGGAAGGGGGAGGGGCUGAUUCCAGUUGGCGGCGGUUCACGAGGCGUCACUCAGGCCGCCGGAAGCCGCCCAGAGAAGCCUGCGACCAGAGCUAGGUUUCACUUUCCCAGGAAACCGAAACCGAGGCGAGCCUCUCUUUCACGUUGACAGGAGAAUACGGUUAUUGUAGAAACGGGCUUUGACUACUGUAUUAGUCGUUGCCAGUUAAUAGCAGAUGCUUUGUUGUCUUUAUAAAAUUACUUAUCAAUGACAUUUUGUAAUGACUUUUAAGGAUUUUUAUUGUAUUUGGAAUACAUCGUACAAACGUUUCUUUUCCAGAGUUUCUUUAGAGUUUCUUUUUUUAUUGACAUCAGUGACAGUCUACAAAAAGGGAUAACAUUGCAGAUUUUUAAGUGUUCUCUUUUUUUUUUUAACAAUUCCUGUUCAAGGUUAGAAUGAAUGGACAUUAUUUUAUAACUGAGAGAGAGACAGAGACAGACAGAGAGAAAGAGAUUGAGAUUCAUGCUGUGUCCUGGGAGCCACCCCUCACCCUCAACUUCUAUAAUCAACUUUCUUCAUUGUACAUAUGAGUGAGAACACGCAUCCACGCCUUUUUGUACCUGGUUUAUUUCACUUCACGUAAGAAUCUCCAGUUCCACCCAAGUUGCAGCAAAGGACAGGAUUCCACUCAUUUCUACGGCCGAACAGUGUACCAUUGUGUCCAUGUACCACGGCUUGUUUAUGCAUUCAUCAGUUGGUGGAUGGUUUGUUUCUUGGCUGUUGUGAAUUGUGCUACAAUAAACAGGGCCAUGCAGCUGUCUCUUCCA